AUGGCUCUAAAUCAAGGCCAGCAGUUUGCUUAAGCUAUUGCUUUCAAACAGGAGCCUAAAGAAAUAAAUCUUUCUGUGGUCUAUAGGCCAUUUCAGGACAUUGGAAAUGUAAUGGUCAGUUCAUUAGAAAGAAAUGUCU
rnacentral:snoRNA from 1 species